rnacentral:ncRNA from 1 species
GUUCAGUAGUAUUUUUUAUUUUACCUCCUGCUGGAGGAUAUGAUUUUCUUCUACACACAGCAGUGCAACAUCUGUCAGUACUUCUGGUGCC